rnacentral:rRNA from 1 species
CCUACGGGAGGCAGCAGUGAGGAAUAUUGGUCAAUGGACGAGAGUCUGAACCAGCCAAGUAGCGUGAAGGAUGACUGCCCUAUGGGUUGUAAACUUCUUUUAUAAAGGAAUAAAACGAGGCACGUGUGCCUUUUUGCAUGUACUUUAUGAAUAAGGAUCGGCUAACUCCGUGCCAGCAGCCGCGGUAAUACGGUGGAUCCGAGCGUUAUCCGGAUUUAUUGGGUUUAACGGGAGCGUAGAUGGGUUGUUAAGUCAGUUGUGAAAGUUUGCGGCUCAAACGUAAAAUUGCAAUUGAUACUGGCAGUCGUGAGUACAGUUGAGGUAGGCGGAAUUCGUGGUGUAGCGGUGAAAUGCUUAGAUAUCACGAAGAACCCCGAUUGCGAAGGCAGCUUACUAAACUGUGACUGACAUUGAUGCUCGAAAGUGUGGGUAUCAAACAGGAUUAGAUACCCGGGUAGUC